rnacentral:rRNA from 1 species
UACGUAGGCGGCAAGCGUUGUCCGGAUUUAUUGGGCGUAAAGAGCGUGUAGGCGGUCAGGUAGGUCGGUUGUGAAAACUGGAGGCUCAACCUUCAGAGGUCGACCGAAACCCCCUGGCUAGAGUCCGGGAGAGGAGAGUGGAAUUCCUGGUGUAGCGGUGAAAUGCGCAGAUAUCAGGAAGAACACCCGUGGCGAAAGCGGCUCUCUGGAACGGUACUGACGCUGAGACGCGAAAGCGUGGGGAGCGAACAGG